rnacentral:rRNA from 1 species
UACGUAGGGUGCAAGCGUUAUCCGGAAUUAUUGGGCGUAAAGAGCUCGUAGGCGGUUUGUCGCGUCUGCUGUGAAAACUCGAGGCUCAACCUCGAGAUGUCGGCGGAAACCAUCUGGCUAGAGUCCGGAAGAGGAAAGUGGAAUUCCUGGUGUAGCGGUGAAAUGCGCAGAUAUCAGGAAGAACACCCGUGGCGAAGGCGGCUUUCUGGGACGGUACUGACGCUGAGACGCGAAAGCGUGGGGAGCGAACAGG